rnacentral:rRNA from 1 species
AUUGAUGGGAGCUUGCUCCCUGAUAUCAGCGGCGGACGGGUGAGUAACACGUGGGCAACCUGCCUAUAAGACUGGGAUAACUUCGGGAAACCGGAGCUAAUACCGGAUAAUCCCUUUCCUCUCAUGAGGAAAGGCUGAAAGAUGGUUUACGCUAUCACUUAUAGAUGGGCUCGCGGCCUAUCAGCUUGUUGGUGGGGUGAUGGCCUACCAAGGCUUUUACGGGUAGCCGGCCUGAGAGGGCGACCGGCCACACUGGGACUGAGACACGGCCCAGACUCCUACGGGAGGCAGCAGUGGGGAAUAUUGCACAAUGGGCGGAAGCCUGAUGCAGCAACGCCGCGUGAGGGAUGACGGCCUUCGGGUUGUAAACCUCUUUCAGCACCGACGAAGCGGGAGUGACGGUAGGUGCAGAAGAAGCGCCGGCCAACUACGUGCCAGCAGCCGCGGUAACACGUAGGGCGCGAGCGUUGUCCGGAAUUAUUGGGCGUAAAGGGCUCGUAGGCGGUUUGUUGCGUCGAGAGUGAAAUCCCACGGCUUAACUGUGGGACUGCUUUCGAUACGGGCAGGCUAGAGGUAGGCAGGGGAGAGUGGAAUAUCCGGUGUAGCGGUGGAAUGCGCAGGUAUCGGAUGGAACACCGGUGGCGAAGGCGGCUCUCUGGGCCUUACCUGACGCUGAGGAGCGAAAGCGUGGGGAGCGAACAGGAUUAGAUACCCUGGUAGUCCACGCCGUAAACGUUGGGCGCUAGGUGUGGGGGACUUUCCACGUCCUCCGUGCCGCA